AGGUGACCCUCGAAAAGUGCUUCAGAAACCGAACUUCGCUCCACAGCCUCCGAACGAACAGACAUUCAGUUCAUAAAAAAGAAAGACUUAUAUAGAGGAUUUAAAACCUCUGUUCGGAAUAGUCCGGACUGCAAGGCUAUUCAAAUUCGCAACGUGUAAUGACGAACUACUGUCUCCGAGGCGUAUGUAGAUAUUCGGCCGGCGUAAUAAUACUUUUCGCCUCGAGAGGUGCCACGGUUGAAGCGUCAUCAGAAGGAACGAAUCAGCUAACUGCUAUGUCAGCUGAGAUGAGGAGUAAACGGAAGUAGCAUGGCUACCGGAGCUGGUCGAUCAUCUAGUUAGUACCGAGGAAGACGAAAUCUCGACCGAAAAUGUACAAAAAAAAGACAUCUUCGAAACGCAAGUUGUGUUACAUGCAUAUAUCUUCGGUCAAGCAUGAAGAAACACAGAAUUUCACCAAUAUACGGUGGAAUACAUAUCGAAAUUUUCGGCAGCGGCUAGAAUUGAAGGGUGAGUGCAGAGACGUAGCAGAACAUUUUAAGCAAUGUAUUGAGUUGGAGUUUGACGAAAUUCCCGAGGAUGCGGCUCUCCAUCCCACAUGCUACCGGAGGUUUAUUGACAAGCGGGAAAUUGAACGAGUCACACGGCGUCUCUUGCGAGAGGCAGAGAGGGGAGAUGGCCAACAAGACCACCGAACUAGCCAGGCUACCUCCGCUUUAUCGGCUGUGACCACCACUCCGACCAGGAAACUGCGAUCCAGAUCAAGCUCUGGCCCCGUUCUUCCUGCUGUCUGCAUGAUUUGCAAGAAAGACAGCAAAUGUAUCGUCGCGAGUGGCAGACGUCAAAGAGAACGAAAACACAGACUUUAACCGCAGGCAAGUUGCAGGAAGCAGCUGAAGUAAAGGAAGCCAAGAGCAUCCUCAUUCACAUCAAGGACAGAGACUGUGUGGCUCUGGAGGUGCAGUACCACAGAAGUUGCUACAGAGAGUACACAAGGUUUUUGAGUGAGCCUGUCAGAGCAGAGAAAGAACAGAUUGGGCCAACAUUUGAUCUGAGCUACAAGUUAUUCUGCGAGAGGGUAAUCCGCUAAAGGCUACUGAUCAACCAAGAGCUGCUGAGGAUGAGCCAACUGAGGAAGGCCUUUAUUGCCCUUGUGCAGUCAAGUGAAGGUGUUGAUGCUUCAACCUACAGACAGGAUAUAUUGAAGAAGAGGCUCAGUCGUGAUUUUCCUCAGCUAGUGUUCCACACCCCCGCCAAACGCAACACAUCUGAACUGGUUUUUGCUGAGAACUUGUCGACGAAUGCAGUCUUGGACUUGUUACCAUCAGGUGCGGAGACGACUCAGUCCAGCGAAAUGAGCCAGACAGACAGCGACACAGAAAGGAGGAAGUCAAAGCAACCAACCACAGCAGAGGAGACACGGACACUUUACACAGCAGCUGCAGUAAACUUCAAUCUCACUGAAGUCAUUUUCUGUGGCAUGCGCAAAAGAUGUGUACCUGGAUGCUUUCACACAGUUCAUGAAAAUGCCGGUUCAUGUGUAUGCCACUUGUUUUGAUUUUUUUAUUUGUUGUAUAGUUAUUAGUGAAUAAAUGAAUACAUGAAUA